UACGAAGGGGGCUAGCGUUGCUCGGAAUUGCUGGGCGUAAAGCGCACGUAGGCGGCUUCUUAAGUCGGUGGUGAAAUCCUGGAGCUCAACUCCAGAACUGCCUUCGAUACUGGGAAGCUCGAGUCCGGGAGAGGUGAGUGGAACUGCGAGUGUAGAGGUGAAAUUCGUAGAUAUUCGCAAGAACACCAGUGGCGAAGGCGGCUCACUGGCCCGGUACUGACGCUGAGGUGCGAAAGCGUGGGGAGCAAACAGG
rnacentral:rRNA from 1 species